rnacentral:rRNA from 1 species
CACGGAGGGUGCAAGCGUUAUCCGGAUUCACUGGGUUUAAAGGGUGCGUAGGCGGGCAGGUAAGUCAGUGGUGAAAUCUCCGGGCUUAACCCGGAAACUGCCGUUGAUACUAUCUGUCUUGAAUAUCGUGGAGGUAAGCGGAAUAUGUCAUGUAGCGGUGAAAUGCUUAGAUAUGACAUAGAACACCCAUUGCGAAGGCAGCUUACUACACGAUCAUUGACGCUGAGGCACGAAAGCGUGGGGAGCAAACAGG